rnacentral:rRNA from 1 species
AUUGAACGCUGGCGGCAUGCUUUACACAUGCAAGUCGAACGGUAACAGGGUGCUUGCACCGCUGACGAGUGGCGAACGGGUGAGUAAUGCGUCGGAACGUGCCGAGUAGUGGGGGAUAACGCAGCGAAAGUUGUGCUAAUACCGCAUACGUACUGAGGUAGAAAGUGGGGGACCUUCGGGCCUCACGCUAUUCGAGCGGCCGACGUCUGAUUAGCUAGUAGGUGAGGUAAAGGCUCACCUAGGCGACGAUCAGUAGCGGGUCUGAGAGGAUGAUCCGCCACACUGGGGCUGAGACACGGCCCAGACUCCUACGGGAGGCAGCAGUGGGGAAUUUUGGACAAUGGGCGAAAGCCUGAUCCAGCCAUGCCGCGUGUCUGAAGAAGGCCUUCGGGUUGUAAAGGACUUUUGUCGGGGAGGAAAUCCCCAGGGUUAAUACCGCUGGGGGAUGACAGUACCUGAAGAAUAAGCACCGGCUAACUACGUGCCAGCCGCCGCUGUAACAC